GCGAACGUUUGCGGCGGGCCUAACACAUGCAAGUCGAACGGGCAUCUUCGGAUGUCAGUGGCGCACGGGUGCGUAACACGUGGAUAAUCAACCCUUUAGUUCGGGACAACAGCGGGAAACUGCUGCUAAUACCGGAUGUGACUUCGAGGUCAUCAGGCCUCGUCGAGAAAGGCUCGCAAGGGCCGCUAGAGGACGAGUCCGCGUCCCAUCAGCUAGUUGGUGAGGUAAUGGCUCACCAAGGCGAAGACGGGUAGCUGGUCUGAGAGGAUGAUCAGCCACACUGGAACUGAGACACGGUCCAGACUCCUACGGGAGGCAGCAGUGGGGAAUAUUGCGCAAUGGGCGAAAGCCUGACGCAGCCACGCCGCGUGAGCGAUGAAGGUCUUCGGAUCGUAAAGCUCUGUGGGGGGAGAAGAAUAAAGCCGGUGAAGAGCCGGCCUUGACGGUAUCCCUUUAGCAAGCACCGGCUAACUCCGU
rnacentral:rRNA from 1 species